rnacentral:rRNA from 1 species
CCCUUAGAUGUUCUGGGCCGCACGCGCGCUACACUGAUGCAUUCAACGAGUCUAAAACCUGCUCUGAUAGGGGUGAGUAAUCUUUUGAAUGUGCAUCGUGAUUGGGAUAGAUGAUUGCAAUUUUUCAUCUUCAACGAGGAAUGCCUAGUAAACGCAAGUCAUCAGCUUGCAUUGAUUACGUCCCUGCCCUUUGUACACACCGCCCGUCGCUCCUACCGAUUGAAUGAUCCGAUGAAUAUCAUGGAUUGAGGAUGCAAGUAGGUUCACCUAUCUUCAUCUUCGAGAAGUGAAGUAAAUCUUAUCAUUUAGAGGAAGGAGAAGUCGUAACA